GGAGGAAUGGCAGAGUGGUCUAAUGCGGCGGUCUUGAAAACCGUUGUGCAGCAAUGCACCGGGGGUUCGAAUCCCUCUUCCUCCG
rnacentral:tRNA from 1 species